UGGUGCAUUCCAGUUGUACCCGGAAGUCGGAUGUUUCAACUAGAGCACCCUCCGAAGUCGGAUUUCCAACUCGGAAAGUCUGAGAAACCCCAGCAACCCCGAAAUAAUAUAAUAAUAUCAUAUAAUCAGUCGAUCAGAUGGUUGAGUCUGUGAACGGUUUGAACUGUAGUUAAACAGUUUACUCUUUGGCCGUCUUCCGUAACAAAGUUUGAGGAAGUAGCUAACUAGCUAGCUAGCUGCCAGUGAAAAGAAAACAAGUUAUCUGGUAACAACACCAACACAACACAACACAACUAUGAGUGGAAACUGCCUGAUCCUGGAUAUAUUGACCACUUUGCCUCCAUGAAGAAAAGAGAAACCCCAUAUGCAAGUUUCCAUGACUAAAGGGUACUCUGUCCCUGGAGUACUACAGAGAGGCAGAAGAAAGGUGGGACAAUAAUGGCUGUUAAUCUUUAUUGUGAGGCGAGGUGAGGCCAUUUUGCUUUUUAUGGUGAGACUAAACAAAAACACAGCUGUCCUCAGUCAGCAGUGUCUCUUUUUUCACAUUAUUGCUGUGGGAUUACACAACAGUAAAUCGCAGUGUUCAGGCUGCAGUUCAGUCUCAUCACUUGGAUUGACUGAAAUCACAAAAUGCAGCGAGGUCACCUGAGGGCACAUUCACCUGAGGCUCCUUCACACUCAGCCUCUCUGAGCACAAUCGGUCGACCAAUCACAGUUUAGUCUGUGGACGUCGGCUGGCGUGUUUCGUCAUCGUCCGUGGGGAGUUUUGACGUUGACGUGAGCAAUGGAGAAGAGAGAGGAGAACCAGUGUCGGAAAAACGAACCGAAAUGCUGAGUGAAAUCAGCGUUUGAGUCGUCGUUUCAUCGCCUUGGUUUGGUAGAACUGUGGAAAACAAAGAUUUAGAGCUGUUUUGCUCAACAGAGUGAGGCUGGACGAUCAGCACACCUGCGGCACGAAGCUGCUGCAGCCUGGACAGAAAUACCAGCUCUCACCUCACAGACUACAGAGGAGGAGAUGACAGCAGCUGGCUCUGGACCUGAAGUGGAUGAAAGAAGAAAACAGAAUUAUGAAGCUGUUAAUUAGACAAGCUAUAAAUAGAACUACAGGAAAACCAAGAUGGUGGAUGUUUUCUAUCAGUCUGUGAUUACCUGAUAGAAGACAUCCAUCAUCCUUGGUCCUCCUGUUGUUCAAGUGGAGACACUUAGUUUUAUUCUCCAACCUAUAAGGUAAUUAUCUGCAUAUUUUCCACAGACGAACAUGUCUCUCUAUUAAGCAUCAGAACAUUUUCUUGCUUAUGACACAAUUAUUAUAAGUAGUUUAAUGUUCUUAAAGAUGUUUAACUGAGACAUGUUAGUCUGUGGAAAAUGUGCUCAGAACUACAUUAUGUGUUGGGUGAGAGAAUAAAACAAAGUGUCCCCUUGUGCUCAAGUGUCUGUUAUCAUUUCUGUGGUUUAUUAAACAUUGUCUGGAACAAAAUCACUGGAAGCACUUGAAAUAUUAAAGAUUAAUGACAAGAA